AGCGGCGGACGGGUGAGUAACACGUGGGUAACCUGCCCAAGAGACUGGGAUAACACCUGGAAACAGAUGCUAAUACCGGAUAACAACACUAGACGCAUGUCUAGAGUUUGAAAGAUGGUUCUGCUACCACUCUUGGAUGGACCUGCGGUGCAUUAGCUAGUUGGUAAGGUAACGGCUUACCAAGGCAAUGAUGCAUAGCCGAGUUGAGAGACUGAUCGGCCACAUUGGGACUGAGACACGGCCCAAACUCCUACGGGAGGCAGCAGUAGGGAAUCUUCCACAAUGGACGAAAGUCUGAUGGAGCAACGCCGCGUGAGUGAAGAAGGGUUUCGGCUCGUAAAGCUCUGUUGGUAGUGAAGAAAGACAGAGGUAGUAACUGGCCUUUAUUUGACGGUAAUUACUUAGAAAGUCACGGCUAACUACGUGCCAGCAGCCGCGGUAAUACGUAGGUGGCAAGCGUUGUCCGGAUUUAUUGGGCGUAAAGCGAGUGCAGGCGGUUCAAUAAGUCUGAUGUGAAAGCCUUCGGCUCAAUCGGAGAAUUGCAUCAGAAACUGUUGAACUUGAGUGCAGAAGAGGAGAGUGGAACUCCAUGUGUAGCGGUGGAAUGCGUAGGUAUAUGGAAGAACACCAGUGGCGAAGGCGGCUCUCUGGUCUGCAACUGACGCUGAGGCUCGAAAGCAUGGGUAGCGAACAGGAUUAGAUACCCUGGUAGUCCAUGCCGUAAACGAUGAGUGCUAAGUGU
rnacentral:rRNA from 1 species